rnacentral:rRNA from 1 species
UACGUAGGGUGCAAGCGUUGUCCGGAAUCACUGGGCGUAAAGGGCGUGUAGGCGGUCCGCUAAGUCUGAUGUGAAAGCCCGGGGCUCACCCCCGGAAGUGCAUUGGAAACUGGCGGACUCGAGUCCCGGAGAGGAGAGUGGAAUUCCUGGUGUAGCGGUGAAAUGCGUAGAUAUCAGGAGGAACACCGGUGGCGAAGGCGGCUCUCUGGACGGUGACUGACGCUGAGACGCGAAAGCUAGGGGAGCAAACGGG